rnacentral:rRNA from 1 species
UACGGAGGAUGCGAGCGUUAUCCGGAUUCAUUGGGUUUAAAGGGUGCGUAGGCGGACUAAUAAGUCAGUGGUGAAAUUUUGCAGCUUAACUGUAAACGUGCCGUUGAUACUGUUAGUCUUGAGUAUGGUCAAGGUAGGCGGAAUGUGUAAUGUAGCGGUGAAAUGCUUAGAUAUUACACAGAACACCGAUUGCGAAGGCAGCUUACUGGGCCACCACUGACGCUGAUGCACGAAAGCGUGGGGAGCGAACAGG